UGCUCAUUUUGGCAGCAGUAUACUAAAAUUGGAACAAUACAUAGAAAAUUAGCAUGGCCCCUAAAAAAAAAACAAAAGCUAGGUGUGGUGGCUCACGCCUGU